CUGGAGGUUACUGCAUUCCUUGGCUCCUGGUCUUCUCCUUCCAUCUUCAAAGCCGCAGUCAUUUUUCCAUAGUCACAUCUCCCUCUGAGCACGGUCAGGAAGAGCUCACUGCUUUAACGGUGGUUCGAUUGGACCUGCCCAGGUAAUCCCGGAUAGUCUCCCCAUCUCAAGACUCCUUACCCCUAAUCUCAUCUGCAAAGUCCCUUUUGCCCUGUAAGGUAACAUCAUCACAGGUCCUGGGGACAAGGAGGUGGCUAUCUGUGGGGGCUAUUAUUCUGUCUACCACAACCACUUCCUCUUACCUUGACUAACUGCCUACUUGUUCAGUGAUUCAAUGCAUACGUUUUGGGUGCCUACAACAUCUCAAUGCUGUGCAAUCACGGCGACCAGGAAAAAUGCAGCCUCUGCCAUCGUGAACCUCAUAGGCUGGUAGCUCUUGGUGUAGAUCAUCACCACCUCCAAGAAGCCUUCCCUGACUGCUCCCUCGGACCCCCUAGCUGCUCCAUUGCAGCACUGUCACUUUACAAAUUCUCUGGCCUAUCUCCCCAGCCAGACACCUCAAGGACCGGGAGUGCGUCUCAUUCACCUCCACAUUGCCAGAGACCUCACCUAGCAGACCCUGCCAGAAAUGCAGCUCUUGACCCCAAAUGGCAAAAUUAUGGAGCAACAUCCAGGUAACUGCAGCUUUAGAAUGUAUCCUCAGGAAAGAAUUCAAAAGCAGCAAAAACCAAGAAGGAGCCAUGGCCAGAGAUGGCGCCCUGAUCGACUAGCAUUGCCUGGAAAUGUUCCUGCUGUCACAGCCUGACCUUUGUGUGAAUCUCAGGAACAGAGACCCCUUACGCCCACUGGGGCGGCCCUGCCAGACAAACAUCUAAGUUGUUUCCAAGCCUGACCCACUGGACACUUCACUUCCUCCUUCAAUGAUCCCAGCUAUAAAAAUGAGAAGCAACAGUUGACUUCCAAGUUGCCACAGGCUGUCUGCUCCAAAUGCAGACUUCACCCCCAGGAAGUUCACCAUUCCAUCGGGGAGCUGUGAUUUGUACUAUCCUCCUGUGAUCCAGACUGCAGAGCCUGCCUGAUGUGGAUUCGGAUUUGCUGUUCCUGGGAACAAGAAAGAAAGCGAGUUUCGAAAGCUCAGAAUCCGAUCUCCGGCCCGGUGGAAACACUGCCAUAUGCUUAAUUGUGCUCCAAUUACACAGGAUGCUCCAGAAUCACUGCUCUGGGGUGGAGAGACGCUAAUGGCCAUCAUUACAUUUGGACAGCCCUGUUCGGCUUUCUAUGAUCUUUGCAACUACUGUAUUUGGUUCACUGACAGUUGCUGGCCUGUUUUAACACGGGAGAGAUGGCGGAGUUCCUCAUUUGCAAACACUGACUGAGAACCUAGGAUGGACCAAGCCUGGUUUCAGGCACUGAGGACAGUGCAAAGUAGGUUCUCAUGAAACUUCUAGUCCAGUGGGGAGACAAGCAAUACACACACACACACACACACACACACACACACACACUGCCCAUAGAGAUAAGUGCCAUGAACAAUUAAGAGCUAUGAGAAAUGGGAGUAGGGUGUGGUAGCUCACAUCUGUAAUCUCAGCACUUUGGGAGGCUGCGGUGGGUGGAUCAUGAGGUCCAGAGUUCAAGACCAGCCUGGCCAAGAUGGUGAAACCCCAUCUCUACUAAAAAUAUAAAAAUUAGCUGGGCAUGGUGGCACAUGCCUGUAGUCCCAGUUACUCAGGAGGCUGAGGCAGGAGAAUCGCUUGAACCCAGGAGGCGAAGGUUGCAGUGAGCCAAGAUCACACAACUGCACUCUAGUCUGGGUGACAGAGCAAGACUCCGUCUCAAAAAAAAAAAAAAAUAGCUAUGAGAAAUGGGAGUAGGGCCUAAACAGUGGUCCAGGAAGGCUCCCUGCAGAGGAGACAUUUGGGUACCUAGGUGAGGUAAGGGAGGGAGCUGUGAGGAGGAGAUCUGCUGGAAGAGUGUUCCAGGCAGCAGGAACAGCCAGUGCAAAGGCCAAGGGGCCCUGCUUGGUAUGUGGGACAGCCUGUGUGGCUGGAGUGGAGAGACGGACUAGAAAAUGGGGAGAGGAUGACACUGUACGGGUCACCGUAAGGAAUCUGCACUUCACUGUGAGUGGCAUGGGACUGCUUUGAGCAGAGGAAGGAUGUGACCUGUUUGAUACCUGGAAGAAUCUCCCCCACUUUUAUCUGAGACAAGGUCUUGCUCUGUUGCCCAGGCUGGAGUGCAUUGGUGUAAUAAUAGUUCACUGCAGCCUCAGAGGGGGCAGCUAAAGCUCCCUGGAGUGAAAGUGUUGGUGAGGUACAAGACCCCAGAUCUUCUCAGCUAGAUCUGCUUCAGAGCACUGUCAGCACAGCAGGCCAGUGCAAGGCAGAAGUCAACGUUAAAACGGAUUUGAUUAGCCCAACUCGGGGGAGAGGUCCGAGCUUGCCCAUAUUGCCGGCCCAAAUUUCCCUGCAGCCCCCAGCUGGGCACAGCUGAGCUAUGGCUUCCGUGAGCUGCAGGAUUUUUGGAAUAAAGGCUCAACCUUGGAAAAGUAUUAAUGAAAAUGUCACAGGCACUAAAGUCAAAGCAGAUGUGAAGCCAGCUACGCGGGCAGACGUAACUGAUAAGAAACAGCCCAGGAGAGAACAAAACCUCUUGAGAUUAGGUCAAGGGCAGACCAAAAAAAAAAAAAAUGACAUCCAGGGGUCCCCCAUGGCAACUCGGAGGAACACUGUCGCUCCUGGGGAACAAGCUGACAUUUUUGUGCUGUGUUAUAUAUUGACGUCCCGACAGGGCCGCGUGCGGAGGCCUCCACAUCAGCAAAUAAAUAUUACGUCUCCAUCUUCAGCUAAGCAGAGCUGUGGUGCAUUCCUAUUACUUCAUGUGGAUUAACCAUCUGGAAGUGGAAUCAAGCCGCAGAGUAAAGAAUGAGAUCCAAUUUUGCAUUCACCAAAAUAAGGCCUACGAGUCUCAAUUUAUGGCAGACGGUUAUGCAGUCUCAGCGGGCCAAAAAAUCUCUCUGCAAAAGAAUAAAGUUUAUGCCAAUUACUGUAAUAGGAACCAGCACAACAACUGUGUGGGGUUGGCUAAGAUCGCAGAUAUUGCUGUACAGCUCGUAAACUGCAGGGGGCCGGGGCAACGCUGGGGACCCAGUUAAUUCAUUAAGAUAACGCAAGAGAAAUGAGGAGCAGAGUUCGUCGUAAAACAGAAAUACUUCCCCGCAAAGGACAUGGGGGAGUCGAGGUGGAGUGGCUCCUGUUGGGAUGGGACCUGGGUCGUGCUGCAGGCAGGUCCAGGGAAAUGGGUAAUGGUCACGGAGAGGCUGCCUGGUGCUCAGUGGGAAGGGUACAGGAGGAGAGCUGUUCCAUUCCGGGCUUUUCUCCACUCCAUUCAUUCAAAACAGAUCUGCUGAGCAUGGGCUAGUCUGUGGCAGGCAGUGGGCAGGCCUCGAGCCUACUGUGACCAGUGCCCUGCACUCCUGGGAGCUGCCCUUAUGGAGCUCCCAGCCUGGCGGUGCCCAGGAGGGGUGCUGGUCGAGUCGGGAGGUCCAGGGAGGCUUCUUGGAUAUGGCCCUGGGGCUGAGGUUGAAGGAUGCAGAGGAAGGAAGAGGGCUCCAGGCCUACAGGACAUGCUGUGGGCUUUGGUCCCGGAGAAUCUGGAAGCAGGCUACCGUGGCUGCAGCCUGGUGACGAGGGGCAACAGCUAGGCAAAGAUGGGGAGGGUGGCUGGGCCUCUUGGGCCCAGAGAGUUUUGUCUGUGUCCUGAAAUCGGAGAUGAAAUGAUAUGCUGUCUUCCUUUUGGAUAGGGGUCUUUGGCCACAGGAAGCUCUGACUCUUUUCAGCUGAGAGCAGCUUCAUUUUUUAUUUUUAUUUUCUGAGACAGGGUCUCACUGUCACCCAGGCUGCAGUACAGGGGUACAAUCUUUGCUCAUUGCAGCCUCAACUUCGCAGGCUUAAGCUAUCUUCCCACCUCAGCCUCCUGGGUAGCUGGGAUUACAGGUGUGCACCACCACACCCAGCUAAUGUUUUAUUCAUUUAUUUAUUUAUUUUGUAGAGACAGGGUCUUACUAUGUUGCCCAGGCUGGUCUCAAACUCCUGGGUUCAAGUGAUCCUCCCAUCUCAGUCUCUCAUAUAGUUGCAACAUCAACUAUACUGUUGAUAUUACAGGCAUGAGCCACUGCGCCCGCCCUGAGAGCAGCUUCUGGACCUGUGUGCUCAAGGACAUGGCAGGGCGGUAACUCCUCACUCCCCAGGAUGCUGUCAUGAUGGAAUGACGCACUAUAGCACAGAGGAGGGGUUCGCCCUUUCUCCAUUGUCCUGCCUGAGGAAAGCACUGCUGGGGACCUCCUGGCCAGUAUCUCCUCAAGAUGGCAGCUUCCAUACAACAUGUUCCCCACCCCUGCCCUGGGAAUUUUGUGCCCUGCUAGGACUGAAGCGGGAGGGAUUAGGCAGUUGGUCUGGGACCCAUCAGGUUUCAAAACAAGGUUGCCUGUUUCCUAUACAUGUUGGUUCAGCUCUUGUAAAUUUUUUAAGUGAAUGUUGACAUUUGGGGCUCACAAUAGGGUGACCAACUGUCCCAGUUGCCCCAGGAAUGUACUGGUUUUAGCACCAACAGUGCAGCCUUCCAGGAAACCCUCUAUCCUGGGCAAACCAGAACGGCUGGUCACCCUCGCCAAAUAACAGACCAAUGAAGAAGCAAAGCCAGUGUUGCAGAGAUUUCCACGCAGCCCCACGGCCAUUCCUUGUCUCACAGCUACAUCCUGUGUUGGUAUAAAGACCUCAAGUUCCACCAGCAGGUCACUGAGGUUCGGCGGGGCUGAGACCACUUGGGGGCCCAUUGAUCGGUGAGUAGAGGCAGCGGGCUUGGAAUGCAGGCAUUGGACACUAAAGGCUCAGUGUCAUUAGUAAAAGCCCAGGGCACCAGUCACGACCGCCGAGCUGCACGUUCUUGAGACAGGUUGACAAGUAAUGGAACAAAGCAAUCCCACUGUUCCUUGCUUGGCCAGCCGUCUCUUCCCUGCUCCCAUGAAGGCCCAGGCAGACAGAGGCCAUCUCCUCUUGGUGGCCCAGAGCCAGGCUGGGCCAGACUGCCUAGUCACUCGGAGUCCCCCUCCUUGCCCACCACCCCCUGCCCGAGGAUACUGUGUGCCCUGCGGCACAUAAACAACCUGCGGGGAGAAGACCAAGAUGGAGACUGGAUCUCAGGGCAAGGGGGAGAAGCCCACCAGCAGGAGUGCGGGUGCUGACCUCAAUCACACAAGUGGAGAAUCUGAGCCUGCUGGGUUGGAAGGGGCCGGGAGGAAUCCUGAAUACACCCCCCACCCCCACAUGGGCUUCCUGGCAUGCACCAGGCCGAGGAAGGGGAGUGAGCUCAUGGGCCACGAGAUACCAAACAAAAAAUCUGAUCCCCAGUGACAAAAGGCACCUAUGGGCAGUCACAUAUGGAAAGGGUUCUUGAGGCCUUGGGCCUUACAAAAAGUUUUAGUAAGAUUCUCUUGUCAAGUAAAACAUCGAAGACAGUUCUGCGGGUGAGGGGGGCCGCUACCCACAAUCCCCCCCACGCUAACAAAACCACCACAGCGGCUCCCCUCUGGAUGCUGGCAGACUGGAAGACUUCCUGCUCCGACGUGGUAGGAGAGGGAUGGCAGGUAUUCUGAUUUCUAUCCCGACAUAGCACAGUUCAUGUCUCCGCAUUUCAUUAUCAUUAAACCUUUCCCUCUAAGUACUCCUAGGCGACCUACAAUAGGAGUCAUGGAUACAGGAGAACCUGAAACCCUCAAGCCUCCCAGCACCAUCGCCAAAACCAGGGCUGAGGGGUGGGAAGGGGGAAGGAGGAGUUACUGCAGGAAGCCCUGCCUGAGGAGCGUGCCUCACUUGGAUGUAAAAUGCAGCAUGGGGGUUUCUGACAUCAGCAUGUUCAACGCGAUGUGGGACAAUGUUUAACAGUGUAUAGGAAGACACGUUUUCUUGGCUCCGGGAAGAAUCCAUCAUGGAAGUUUACUCCUAAGAGGUGUUUAAGAACCUAGGGUGUCCUCAAUAGAAUUUUUGUCAUUAGGGCCUCCCCUUGCACCAAUGCUUACUAAACGCCACGAGCAUAGAGUUUGCAGUUCUCAAAGACCCCUACGGCAGCAGAUGCGUACCUCUGGGGUGGCCUCUGGAUUACAACCCUGGCUCCACCACGUUUAGUGAUAAAACCUGGGGCAAAUUAUAUUAGCCUGGACCUCAGCUUCCUCAAGCAUAAAAGGAUAGCAGUGGCCGGGCAUGGUGGCUCACACCUGAAUCCCAGCACUUUGGGAGGGCUGAGGCAGGUGGAUCAUGACGUCAAGAGAUUGAGACUAUCCUGGCCAACAUGGCGAAACCCCGUCUCUACUGAAUAUACAAAAAUUAGCCAGGCGUGGUGGCAUGUGCCUGUAAUCCCAGCUACUCAGGAGCCUGAGGCAGGAGAAUCGCUUGAACCUGGGAGGUGGAGGUUGCAGUGAGCCGAGAUAGUACCACUGCACUCCAGCUGGGUGACAGAGCAAGACUCCGUCUCAAUAAAAGAAAAAAAAAGGAUAGUGGGUCGGGCGCGGUGGCUCAAGCCUGUAAUCCCAGCACUUUGGGAGGCCGAGGCGGGUGGAUCAUGAGGUCAAGAGCUCGAGACCAUCUUGGUCAACAAGGUGAGACCCCGUCUCUAAUAAAAAUACAAAAAAUUAGCUGGGCACGGUGAUGGGUGCCUGUAAUCCCAGCUACUUGGGAGGCUGAGGCGAGAGAAUUGCCUGAACCCAGGAGGCGGAGGUUGCGGUGAGCCGAGAUUGCGCCAUUGCACUCCAGCCUGGGUCACAAGAGCGAAACUCCGUCUCAAAAAAAAAAAAAAAAGGAUAGUGGUAAGAGCACCCACUUCAUAGGGUUGCUGUGCAGAUCAGAGGCCAAUUCUGUGCUGUACCUGACUUACAGCAGGUGCUACUAAGUGCCUUGGUACUGUUACUGUUUGCAAUCUGGUUUGUUAAGAGGAAAACCCAUGAAAAGAAUCUUAAAGCAGGGGUUUGGCAAACUGUGGCCCUUGGGCCAAAUCUGACCUGCUGCCUGUUUGUGGGAAGUUCUGUUGAAACAG